CACAAAUUGAAUAUCAACACAGGCGACAAGGUGUAUUCUUCCUAUCUGCCUAACCUCCGGGAUAAGUAAGAAGAUACACCUGGUAUUGGUAGAUCAGAUUAAUCAAGUAUAAUGCACAAAUUGACCUAACACCACCGUUAUAUAAAAUAUGUUACUACUAUGUUAGUUGCAUCAGACUUAACACAUAACAGCCAAAAAAUUUAGAAAAUAAAGGGCGUGGGAGUUCUACAUUUUCCCAACAACCACCACUAUUACAGCAGCUCAAUUAUUUGAGUCACAAGAUAAAUCGAGGGAUUUCUAAAACCCAAUAAUACAGAAAUAAUUUAGCAAAAUUGUUAGGGAUCUAACUUCAUCAGCUAAAAAACUGACAUAAUUAGACCAGCAUAACUAUGUUAUAAAAUUACACUUACAGUUUCAGAAUAACAUAUAUCAUUAGCAGAUCAGUCUCAAUAUAUGAAUAUGAUAUCAGUUCCAUAAACCUAUCCCUUUCCAUCAACUAAACUUGUUAUUCAGUUGGAUUAGAGAACAGCACUUUCAUUAUGUCGUACAGAGUUCAACAAAGAAAAUGUUCAAAACUGUAGGAAGUUGAUCUAUGCAAGCUACCGCCAGAACGAAUGCAAGAUAUGAGAAUUAAAUUAAACAGCUUGAACGACGAGCUAUAUUAGCUAAAUGGUAGAGCGUGCCUGUGUCGUUGUGCCUGGGCUGUGCGGACUCUCAACCAGAAUCGGAGCCAAAAUUCAAGGUUUUUGGAUUCGGAUCUUCAAGAUUUUAGUUCUUUUAUAUUACUGGCUCUAAAUUAAUAAUUUUAGACACUCAAUAGAUUUCAUAAGACAAAUAUAGAGUCUCGGCCAUAUGGAUAAUUCAAUGUGCUCAUCUGCGCUUGACCCUUUGACAGCAGACGAUCACUAAUCCAAUAUCUCAGUUUGGCCAAAGUUGUUAUAUCCCGUAUUUUGCAUAUUCGGAAAAAUUUGAAAUAAUUGUGACAAGUAAGAGAUAAGACAAUAUUUUGAUUUUAUUUAAUAUAUAUGUUGUUCAUGAAAAAUAUUGAUGCGGAAAUAUCGAGGAAGGCUAAGGGUAAAAUUGGAAUUUCGGAAAUUAGUUUCAUGAAUUAUAAAUAUUAACCAUAAGAAGUUGGGCUUGGAAAAUCAAAAAACAGAAAAAAAAGAGGGGGCCCAACAUGGUGGCCGGCCAUAUAGCAAUGGCCCAAGCCGAUGAAAAAUUAAAUCCAAGACAAAUAAAAGGGAAGGGGCCACUAGUUUUCUAACACAUAUUAGAACAUUCAAGAAACAAAAGAAGAGUGAGAGCAAGAAGCAAGAAAAUUCGGCCAAGCUAGAAAAUAAAUAAAUUUGAAGCUUCCAAUCUUUGAUCCAAAAAUUUAUUUCUUCUUGAAUCCCUACUAAGUUCAAGACCCUCUUCAACGUGGUAUAAUUAUUUAACCAAGAAAACCACUUUAGUGGCAAGUGGAGAUUUUAGAAAAGAUAUUGGAGAGCCCGUGACUUGAGUCGGGAUUUGGUUAGCAAGGGAUCGAGGUGCAGACGUUCGUUCUGGUGACCCGCCAGUGUAGGACACUUAUUCUGCUAUUUGGAGUACUCCUUUGAUCCGGAGCUCAUAUUUUGGUACAUAUCUUUUGUCAUACAUAUUUCUGUAUAUAUGACUAUUUGAGGGUACGGCGGGGCCCUGUCCUGUCAUAUGUUCUGUUAUGGUUUGUAGAGGCCUGUAGAUAUAUGUGUGGGUCAUGGGUCAUGUUUGUUCGAUUAUGUUUGUGAUUUGUGCCUUAAGCGGUCCCGUUUGCUAUUAUGGCUAAAACGGCCCACCUGUUUGUAUAUGUGUGUAUAUUCGGGCGAUGUGUAUUCCGCCAGCCUGCCGGCUUUUGGUAUGAUAUUUUUGUUACGGGUGACCGCUUAAGAUGACGUCUGUUUCUCAGUAUUCGUAUAAAUAACGUAUGUUAAAUUUGAAUAAGUCUUUGAUAUGUCGAUCUGGUAAUCAAGUCUGUAUGAGUGUCUAGUUAGGGCACUAGUCACGGCCCACGGGGCUGGGUCGUGACAAAAGUCAUCCUAUUCGCUUUUAUAUUAAGACUGUUUCUUGUUCUGGCCGCUCAGGUUUUCAAUUACCUGCAACUGCCUUUAUAUAACACAAACAUCACAAUGACAAAAAACACAGAAGGAUACCUGGGAAGACAAUAAAUGGAAGCCAUGGAGUAUAGCAAACUCAGUCAAAAUCCCUGUUACAUUGGCAAUCAGAGGAAAUCGUAAAGAAAACAACUACAGCGCAAAAAGUUUUAGGCUUCUAUUAACUAGUAUAGGAAAUUGCAUAAGCCUUUUCAAGGCCAACUGAAACAACUCAUGGGAGCAAAAUGUGCAGACAGGAGGACUUACUCGACAAACAGGAAUGUGCACAAGGGGAUUUACUUGACAAAUCUGCUCAACUCUCACUGGUCACUUCAAAAUCUUAACCACAACACGAGUUCCUCAACAACAAUUAUAGUUGAAAAGCAUGCAGCUAUUGUCC